ensembl:lncRNA
CGUUUCUUACCACGCACCUACCGUAAAUUGAGCUACGAUACUGGGAGAGUUUGGACUUAUGUUUUUAAGCCAGAGGAUGAGUUUACCGUGUGCUUACCGUGACUGUCACCCUGAUAUUGGCUAAAAGAAGGGAGCCAUGAAGAGGAGCUUGGAGUGGGCAAGGGAGAGGCUGAUAAAGCAGUAGAGAAGACCUGAUUCAUCAAGUAUCACGGUUAAUUCUGGUGAUUCUGACCUGGUUGGAAUGCGCAACACGGCAAGACACUUCAAUCCGACACUCUUGUUAAUGUUUGACGUCAGGCAAAACGUCUUCAGCCACCGUAGGGUGGAGAGCCGCUGGUUGGCAUUUUUGACAGCGGUGUCUGUGUGGGUGUACCAGGAAAGGACGUUUGAAGUUAGGUCCCCAUGAUAUCAAAGCUCCUUACCAUCUUCACUGCAGCCCAGUCGAUAUCGAUUUUAAAAACUGGAACAAUAGAUAUCGUGUUGCACAUGGCAGCAAAAAUUCACUUGCCCAACUCCAGUUUGCCUAUUGUCCCAACACAUUUGUCAAUUAUGCAUUUUUACCUACGUCAGAGCGUGGUUUCUUUUAUAGCUCUGCUUUCAACACCAUCCUGACCCACAAACUGGUUAGCAGACUCAGGCCUCUGAGUGUAAACCCUGUAAAACGAAUUACAUUUUUUACAUUAUCACAAGAAUGUCUAUCCCCAUAAUGGACACAACACCUAAACAUGAUGACGACAAUACCAUGGUACCACCUGAUCACGAGUACAUGAAGGUGCUGUGGGAUCUGACAUAAUGGUGAUAGAACAACAGCCUCAGCCUAAGCAAAACAAAGUAGAUGGUGAGACUUGACCAUUCUCCCAUCUACUGUACAUUGACAUGGAGAUGAACAGCAGCUUCAAGUUCCUGGGCACCCUGAUAUCCAUUUCUGCCCUCAGUCACUUCACUCAAAGUCCCACCAGUACACCUCCACUUUCCUCAUCAACUUGCUGCACCACAACCUAUGUUCCAACUACAGUGUCUUUUAUUGCCAUAACACAUGUAAAUGAAAUGUUGUCCAUAUUUACUGUAAGAUUUAUUUAUGGUAACAUUGAACAUAUUGUAACAUUAUAGUCAGUUGACAUACAUGACUAUAACUACUAUUAACUACUAUUAACUACUUAGCAUAAUGCUCCGUUUACCCACUCUACUAAGAAAUCAUACAUUUAUUAAAAUAUUAAAGCUGCAUUAUGUA